UUUGACAUAUAAUUCGGAAAAGUAAUUUGAUCUUCUUCACUACCCAAAGGUCUGUACCCUAAUUACAGAGCGUUCGCAUUGUGAUGGAGGUGGAAGAAAUGACUGAGAAAGGAAAAGAAAUAGUGGAUGUGGUGGACGACGAAGUAUUGGUAGAAUCCAAUAAUGAGAACUCGUUGGACAAUGUAAUCACGCUGGGAGGUGACAAUUUAGGAGGAGAUGUUGCAAAUGUUCCUAAGGUCGGUAUGAAAUUCAAUGAUGAGAAUGAACUGUAUGAAUUUUACAAGAAAUAUACAUACGACGUUGGUUUUCCGGUGAGAAGAAGGAAUUCUAGGAAUGGUGAGGAUGGAAUAGUAAGAUAUGUUACGUUGACUUGUAGUCAUAAAGGACGAAGAAACUAUAACACAAGCACUUCUUUAAGGCCAUAACCAACAAUUCAAAUGGGUUGCAAAGCAAAGCUAAUUGCUUCUGUAGAUAUUCUUGGAGUAUGGAAAAUUUGCACGGUCGAACUUGAGCACAAUCGUAAAACAAGUCCGUUGAAAUCUAGGUUGUAUCGAUGCUAUCGAGAAUUGACUGCACAUGUGAAAUGAAAGCUAGAGGUGAAUGACACAGCCGAAAUUCCUUUGCAUAAGAGUUACAACUCUACAGUUGUUGAAGCCGGUGGCUACGAGAUUAUGACGUUCAUAGAAAAGGAUUGUAGAAAUUACGUUGAACAAGUGAGGCGAUUAAAAAUAGGUGAAGGAGAUGCCGCGGCAAUACAAUCCUACUUUUCUCGAAUGCAAGCAUCUUGUUCUGGGUUUUAUUUUUUUAUAGAUUUAGACGACGAGUCACGACUUAAGAAUAUUUUCUGGAUGGACAAAAGGUGUAGGCAAGCGUAUAAGGAGUUCGGGGACGUAGUGUCGUUUGACAUCACUUACCUCACUAAUAAAUAUGACAUGCCCCUUGCCCCAUUUGUUGGAGUAAAUCAUCACGGACAAUCAACGAUGCUUAGAUGUAGUUGCUAUCUAAUGAGGAUACAGAUACCUUUGUGUGGUUGUUUAGGACAUGGAUGCUGUGCAUGCAUGGUCAAGCUCCUAACGGAAUUAUUACCAAUCAAGACAGGGUAAUGUAAAAUGCAAUUUAGAUAGUUUUUUCGAACAUGAGACAUAGAUGGUGUUUAUGGCAUAUAUUGAAGAAGUUGCCUAAAAAAUUUGGUUAUCACGAGGAUAAGAAACAAAUAUUUUCAUGCAUACAUGGCUUAGUUUAUGACUAACAUUUUGCUGGAGAAUUUGAGAAAGGUUGGAGAUUGAUGGUUGACACAUAUAACUUAUAUGAUAAUGAGUGGUUGUUGGGGUUGUAUGACAAUAGGGGUCGAUGGGUGCCGUGUUAUUUGAAAACAACCUUUUGGGCAGGGAUGUCAACUACUCAACACAGUGAGCGUAUGAAUGCGUUCUUUGAUGGGUAUGUUCAUUCCAAGAUAUCGUUGAAACAAUUCGUAAAACAAUAUGAAUGAGCAUUGCGAAAUAAAGUUGAAAAAGAGUUCCAAGCAGAGUUUAAGUUUUACUCGAAAAUGGUGCCGUGUGCAACCAAAUAUGAAAUGAAAAAGCAAUUUCAGACAGUUUAUACGAUAUCUAAGUUUUGGGAAUUUCAAGACGAGAUAACUGGAAGGAUGCCCUGCGACGUCAUAUCUACAUCGGAUGGAUGUUCGGGAAAGACAUACGAGGUCAAAGAGGAUGUAAUUUACGAAGAAAAGGCGAGGAUGAAAAAGAUUUUGUUGUUGUUUCGUGCAGAGGAGGUCGAUAUUACUUUUAGUUGUCAUCUGUUCGAGUUUCGGGGAAUUCUAUGCAGACAUGUCAUAUCAAUGUUGAUGCGUAAUGGCGUCAAAUCAGUGCCGAAAAGGUACAUAUUGAAAAAAUGGAGGAAAGAUAUUUGUAAAGCCCACACGAGGGUCACAAUGAACUAUGAUGGCUUGGUUAGUACUCCAAGCCAGUUGAGGUAUGAUAGAAUGUGCAAAUAAUUUGCUACAUUGGCAGAUAUUGUUGUAGAUGAUGAAGAGCGAACCCAUGCGGUAAUAGAUUGGAUUUGGUUGCAAUGUACCAAGACCGUGUCUACGAAGUUGAUUUCUGGAGGCACUAGCAUUUUGCUACCUAAUUUGCAUUUGGGAUCGCAGUCUAGAGCGUUAUUAGACACAGUCAGUUGAAGUAUGCGAGAUUCGAAAUGCUCGAAAAGAAAGGGCGCUCCCCGAAAACUUCGCACUAAAAGCCCGUUGGAGUUGGGUUCUGAAAAAUCAAAGGCAACCUCACCUUCAACCAAAGUGUAGAGACCGAGAUUGAGAAAGAGCAAUCUCCAACAUGAUAUUGCACUGAAUGCAGAACAUUACAUAUCAACACCACUUUCAGGUUCACAAGUCAUAAUGGAUGAUAGGGAAAUUAAUGCAAUUGCACAACCCUUCAUAGCUUCAAAUUUCAUUGCUCCGUCAACAUCGAUUGUUGUUCUCAAUUAUGGAGCCACUCCAAGGACUGAUGUCACCCGCUUAAAGUGUCAUACCUGGUUGGAUGUCAAGUGCAACCCAGCCGGUCCCUUAGCCUGAUGUUGCAAGUCAUAUUGCCCACGUUCUUGCUCCAAGAUCUAGACUGACUUUUCAAAUAGAUGGUUCGUUAAUAAGACCAAUAUUCAAGCAUUGGAAUACAUAAUAGAAAAGAAACAAAAGAUUUACAUGCUGAUCUAAACCUAGUAAACCACUCAGACCGUGUCUAUGUUUCUGAACUACAUGAUUUGCAAUAGCUCAUUUCCAUGUAGAUUCAAUUGUCAUUUCCAUGUAUAUUCAAUUGUCUUUCCAGUAAAGUGAAGUUGCUAAGAUUUUUU